AGGACGAACGCUGGCGGCGUGCUUAACACAUGCAAGUCGAGCGGUAAGGCCUUUCGGGGUACACGAGCGGCGAACGGGUGAGUAACACGUGGGUGAUCUGCCCUGCACUCUGGGAUAAGCCUGGGAAACUGGGUCUAAUACCGGAUAUGACCUGCUCUCGCAUGGGGGUGGGUGGAAAGAUUUAUCGGUGCAGGAUGGGCCCGCGGCCUAUCAGCUUGUUGGUGGGGUAAUGGCCUACCGAAGGCGACGACGGGUAGCCGACCUGAGAGGGUGACCGGCCACGACUGGGACUGAGACACGGCCCAGACUCCUACGGGAGGCAGCAGUGGGGAAUAUGCACAAUGGGCGAAAGCCUGAUGCAGCGACGCCGCGUGAGGAGUGAAGGCCGUUCGGUUGGUAACCGUACGUUUCUAGCGAGGACGAAGCGCGAGUGACGGUACGUCGCAGAAGAAGACACCGGACGUAACUACGUA
rnacentral:rRNA from 1 species